rnacentral:rRNA from 1 species
GACGAACGCUGGGCGGCGUGCCUAAUACGAUGCAAGUCGAACGGGGUAAAGAGGCUUCGGGUUUUUACUUAAGGUGGCGAACGGGUGAGUAACGCGUGAGGAACCUGCCUUUCAGUGGGGGACAACAGUUGGAAACGACAGCUAAUACCGGAUAAACCACCACAACAUAAGUAGUGGUGUUAAAAGGAGCGUUUGCUUCACUUUGGGAUGGGCUUGCGGUGUAUUAGCUAGUUGGUGGGGUAAGGGCCUACCAAGGCUACGAUGCAUAUCCGAGCUGAGAGGCUGAUCGGACACACUGGGACUGAGACACGGCCCAG